UCUUGGCAGGGUGCAAUGUGGUGUUCGGGAGGGUCCAUUCGCGCCUUGAGCUCUGGUGUCCAAGUCCCCCUGACCGGGGCCAUCGCCCGUUGAGGGUGCAAGGCCUGUUGGGCAGGGCUGUGUCUCCGAUCUCGGCGCGUCGGGUCCCUUCCUUGGAGUCGGGUUGCUUGAGAGUGCAGCCCAAAGUGGGUGGUAAACUCCACCUAAGGCUAAAUACUUUCCACGAGACCGAUAGCAAACAAGUACCGUGAGGGAAAGUUGCAAAGAACUUUGAAGAGAGAGUUCAAGAGUGCGUGAAACCGUUCGGAGGUAAACGGGUGGGAGCGCGAAGGUCGAACGGAUGGGGAGGGAUUCAACUUGGCGUGGCGGCUGGCCGAGCUUGGUUCGUGUCUGGGCGUGCGGGCCUCCCUUAACGGGGAGUUGCCUGCCGCCCCGCGUUCCGCUCCGGCCGUAGUCCGCCGUGCCUUGUGCAUUUCCCUAUUCCCCCUCUCCUAGUAGGACGCCGCGACCGGCUGUCGAGGGGAGCCCAGGAGCUGGUUGGAGCAGUUGCGCGGAUGAGUAAGGGAUCAGUUCUCUGCGUCCGGUCUGUCUGUCUCCUUCCGCCCGCGGGUCGCUCCCUCCGGCCGAGGAACUGUGCGAGCUGGGCCCUUCGGGGUCCCUCGUCCAUGUGCGUGCCCACGAUCUGUCGGUGCGGGUCGAAAGAUCCCAACGGGUGGCGGCUUCUGGUCGGUUUCCCACCCGACCCGUCUUGAAACACGGACCAAGAAGUCUAACGUGUGGGCGAGUCUUCGGGGACUUAUGAACCCUUAGAAGGCGAAAUAAAAGUGAAGGCGUGGUGCCGUCCUCUGUUCUCCGCCUCGGCGGAUGAGCGUUGGGUGGCCCCGCCCGAGUGGGAUCCCCCGUCUGAUGGCGGGGGC
rnacentral:rRNA from 1 species